rnacentral:rRNA from 1 species
CCUACGGGUGGCAGCAGUGGGGGAUAUUGCACAAUGGGCGCAACCCUGAUGCAGCCAUGCCGCGUGUGUGAAGAAGUAUUUCGGGUUGUAAAGCACUAUCAGCCGGGAAGAAAAUGACAGUAUUUGUACAAGUAGCCCCGGCUAACUACGUGCCAGCAGCCGCGGUAAGACGGAGGGGGCAAGGGUUAAGCGGAAUUACUGGGGGUAAAGGUAGCGUAGACGGUUUUGUAAGUCAGGAGCGAAAGCCCCGGGCUCAACCCCGGGAUUGCUUUUGAGACUGGGUACCGAGAGUCCUGUAGAGGCAGGCAGAAUUCCAGGUGUAGCGGUGAAAUGCGUAGAUAUCAGGAGGAAUACCGGCGGCGAAGGCGGCCUGCUGGACUAAGACUGACGUUGAGGUGCGAAAGCGUGGGGAGCAAACAGGAUUAGAUACCCUUGUAGUC